UGUUAAAUUAUUUUUAUCUAUUUUUACUGUUAAAAACUAGCGUAGUUAACAAAAUAACAAGACAUGCUACGCGUACCUUAUGUUGGCGUGCAUGGACUAAUUUUUAACAGUAAAUUUGAUUAAAUUUUUAAUA
rnacentral:pre_miRNA from 1 species